rnacentral:lncRNA from 1 species
GUUCUACCAUCUUCCCAGUUCACAAGUAAGAAAACUGAACCUUUCUUACAUCUUACUUCUUAUUCUUCAAAUCCAGUUGAAAAUGGAUGACACCUUAUCAGAUCAUCAAAGCACAGUAUUACCAGAGUUAUAGUGUUGAAUGUGUUUCAUCUGCACCAUUUCUAAGUAAUAAUUCAUCACAAAUGACAAGAUAGAAUCUCUAGCAAUAAGAUUUUGGGUCAUCGUCAUCCUAUAGACUUCAAAAGAAACACAGGCACUCAAACGUCUGACUCUAAUCAUAAGUUAGCAUAAUAGGAACGAUGGCAAUAGAAGAGUAUGUUUAGCUGAUAUCAUUUGGAAAUGGGAACAUGAGCACGUGAUUACAGCGUAAGCAAAAGAAACAAUUUAUCUAUCUUAAGAAUAUUAACCAUAGGUUUAAUCUACCAAGGAGUUUUGAAAAUAUCAUUUCAAAAUCAUUAAAGAGGGCAGGCACAUGAAGACAGAGAGGAGAAGGAUGGUUACCAAAGACUGAGAAGGGUAGUGCAGGGACUGAGGAGGAGGUGGGGAUGGUUAAUGGGUACAAAAAAAAAAAAAAAUAGAAAAAGACCUAGUAUUUGAUGGCACAGCAGGGUGACUAUAGUCAAUAAUAAUUUAUUCAUACAUUUAAAAAUAACUAAGAGUAUAAUUGGAUUGUUUGUAACACAAAGGAUAAAUGCUUGAAGGAAUGGAUAUACUAUUUCACAUGAUGUGAACAGUAUGCAUUACAUGCCUAUAUCAAAAUAUCUCAUGUACCCCAUAAAUAUAUACACCUACUAGGUACCCACAAAAAUUAAAAUAAAAAUAU